AUGCCCCCUCCACCACUGAACGAUGCUGAGAACUGCAAAACCAGAGGAAGAGCUGUGUGUUGCGUCGUCCUUGCUGGCAAGGUCGUGCGCGACAAGUGGUGGCCCGUACGGGGAACGUCGUCUCAAGCCAGCAGCUCAGAACUUUCGGCGGUCAGGGGGGUGCACCGUGCUGGGCCUAAAGGAGAUAACAUUUAUGAAUGGAGAUCAACUAUACUUGGGCCACCAGGUUCUGUAUAUGAAGGUGGUGUGUUUUUUCUGGAUAUCACAUUUUCAUCAGAUUAUCCAUUUAAACCACCAAAGGUUACUUUCCGUACCAGAAUCUAUCACUGCAACAUCAACAGUCAGGGAGUCAUCUGUCUGGACAUCCUUAAAGACAACUGGAGUCCUGCUUUGACUAUUUCAAAGGUUUUGCUGUCUAUUUGUUCCCUUUUGACAGACUGCAACCCUGCGGAUCCUCUGGUUGGAAGCAUAGCCACUCAGUAUUUGACCAACAGAGCAGAACAUGACAGGAUAGCCAGACAGUGGACCAAGAGAUACGCAACAUAA